rnacentral:lncRNA from 1 species
GAGAGACUGAGAACGUUUAAUGGGACUCGCCCUUACGCAGGCCCAGAACUCUUCCUGGGCCAUGGAUGGGUACCAAUGACCUGCCAUCAAUGUUUGGAGCCUUGGCAUCAUCGUAUGCAAAAUGGUGGCUGGGGACCUGCCAUUUUAUGAGCAGAACUGUAAGGAUAUACAGAAAAAAAAAAAAACAAAACUUAAAAUAGUACUGCUACUUUUUUUUUUAUUUUAAUGGAAAAAAAUAUUUAAAAAUUCUUCACACUCAACCCCAGGGAGCAGCUUCCACUGGACCAGCUGUUGAGGGACUCCUGAGUCAAUAGCGACCAGAAGACAUGGUUCAAGCCAUACAGAGAGCCACUCCUGGACCUCCCAGGCCCCACAACAACCCAGCUCAUAGUGGCCAGGGGAUUCUAGGCAGAGCAUAUCGAGGAAGCGAUAUUAAAAAAAAAAAAAAGAAGUCAUCCCAUGGCCACCUACCUAAUCAGGGAGUUCAGA